UACCAGCACCCCGAGUGGUCGGGACGAUUAUUGGGCCUAAAGCAUCCGUAGCCGGUCAUGCAAGUCUUCCGUUAAAUCCAGCCGCUCAACGGUUGGGCUGCGGAGGAUACUACGUGGCUAGGAGGCGGGAGAGGCAAGCGGUACUCAGUGGGUAGGGGUAAAAUCCUUUGAUCCAUUGAAGACCACCAGUGGCGAAGGCGGCUUGCCAGAACGCGCUCGACGGUGAGGGAUGAAAGCUGGGGGAGCAAACCAGG
rnacentral:rRNA from 1 species